rnacentral:rRNA from 1 species
GUGGGGAAUCUUGCGCAAUGGGCGAAAGCCUGACGCAGCCAUGCCGCGUGAAUGGUGAAGGUCUUAGGAUUGUAAAAUUCUUUCACCGGGGACGAUAAUGACGGUACCCGGAGAAGAAGCUCCGGCUAACUUUGUGCCAGCAGCCGCGGUAAUACGAAGGGGGCUAGCGUUGCUCGGAAUUACUGGGCGUAAAGGGCGCGUAGGCGGACAGCUUAGUCAGAGGUGAAAGCCCAGGGCUCAACCUUGGAAUUGCCUUUGAUACUGGCUGUCUUGAGUUUGGGAGAGGUGAGUGGAACUCCGAGUGUAGAGGUGAAAUUCGUAGAUAUUCGGAAGAACACCAGUGGCGAAGGCGACUCACUGGCCCAAUACUGACGCUGAGGCGCGAAAGCGUGGGGAGCAAACAGGAUUAGAUACCCUGGUAGUCC